rnacentral:rRNA from 1 species
CUACGGGUGGCUCCAGUGGGGAAUAUUGCACAAUGGAGGAAACUCUGAUGCAGCAACGCCGCGUGGAGGAUGACACUUUUCGGAGCGUAAACUCCUUUUAUAUAAGAAGAAGAUGACGGUACUAUAUGAAUAAGCGCCGGCUAACUCCGUGCCAGCAGCCGCGGUAAUACGGAGGGCGCAAGCGUUACUCGGAAUCACUGGGCGUAAAGAGCGUGUAGGCGGAUUAAAAAGUCAGAAGUGAAAUCCUAUAGCUUAACUAUAGAACUGCUUCUGAAACUCUUAAUCUAGAAUAUGGGAGAGGUAGAUGGAAUUUCUGGUGUAGGGGUAAUAUCCGUAGAGAUCAGAAGGAAUACCGAUUGCGAAGGCGAUCUACUAGAACAUUAUUGACGCUGAGACGCGAAAGCGUGGGGAGCAAACAGGAUUAGAUACCCCUGUAGUC